rnacentral:rRNA from 1 species
UACGUAGGGUGCGAGCGUUAAUCGGAAUUACUGGGCGUAAAGCGUGCGCAGGCGGUUUUGUAAGCCAGAUGUGAAAGCCCCGGGCUCAACCUGGGAAUGGCAUUUGGGACUGCAAGGCUUGAGUGCGGCAGAGGAGACUGGAAUUCCUGGUGUAGUAGUGAAAUGCGUAGAUAUCAGGAGGAAUACCGAUGGCGAAGGCAGGUCUCUGGGCUGACACUGACGCUCAUGCACGAAAGCGUGGGGAGCAAACAGG